rnacentral:rRNA from 1 species
UACGGAGGGUGCAAGCGUUAUCCGGAUUCACUGGGUUUAAAGGGUGCGUAGGUGGGUCUGUAAGUCAGUGGUGAAAUCUCCGUGCUUAACAUGGAAACUGCCAUUGAUACUAUAGGUCUUGAAUUUUCUGGAGGAUAGCGGAAUAUGUCAUGUAGCGGUGAAAUGCUUAGAUAUGACAUAGAACACCAAUUGCGAAGGCAGCUAUCUACAGGGAUAUUGACACUGAGGCACGAAAGCGUGGGGAUCAAACAGG